rnacentral:rRNA from 1 species
GAAUAUUGGACAAUGGGGGGAACCCUGAUCCAGCCAUGCCGCGUGCGUGAAGAAGGCCUUUUGGUUGUAAAGCACUUUCAGCGAGGAGGAGGCUACCCGAGUUAAUACCCAGAGCUAGUGGACGUUAAUCGCAGAACAAGAACCGGCUGACUCUGGUACAGCAACCGCUGUAAUACAGAGUGUGCAAGCGUUAAUCGGAUUUACUGGGCGUAAAGCGCGCGUAGGUGGCCAAUUAAGUCAAAUGUGAAAUCCCCGAGCUUAACUUGGGAAUUGCAUUCGAUACUGGUUGGCUAGAGUAUGGGAGAGGAUGGUAGAAUUCCAGGUGUAGCGGUGAAAUGCGUAGAGAUCUGGAGGAAUACCGAUGGCGAAGGCAGCCAUCUGGCCUAAUACUGACACUGAGGUGCGAAAGCAUGGGGAGCAAAC